rnacentral:rRNA from 1 species
UACGUAGGAGGCGAGCGUUGUCCGGAGUUACUGGGCGUAAAGCGCGUGUAGGCGGGUCGUUAAGUGUCCGAGUGAAAUCCCACGGCUCAACCGUGGAACUGCCGGGCAUACUGGCGAUCUUGAGGCAUUCAGGGGCGAGCGGAACAAAUGGUGGAGCGGUGAAAUGCGUAGAUAUCAUUUGGAACGCCAAUGGUGAAAACAGCUCGCUGGGAAUGAUCUGACGCUGAGACGCGAAAGCCAGGGGAGCGAACGGG